CAUAAUUUGAAAUAUAAUACAAAAAUCCAUUUUAAAUUAUAUUUAAUAUUGGAUUUUCUUGUUUCUUAUUGUUUUGUUAUAAGCAAAAUUGUAAACAGUUGACUUUGUCAAUGUACGACAAAAACUCAGAGUUACGAGGAAAUUAGAAUAUUCUUGAUAAUAAGUUGCAGUAAUAAUAAUAAAUUAGUAUCUUCUCUAGGUUAAAUGUUCAUUAUCCUAGCAAUAAUUACUGCAGAAAUGUUUACAGUUUUGCACACAGAAAAGAUGUGUUUAUCAGAGUCCGUGUUGUAAUAUAUUAUCUGAAUAUUUUGUGGAAUAUUUUUGGUCUGUUGAUUGAGGUUUUUUUAAAUUUAUUUUUUCCUUUCAAUAAGAAAGAUAAGCUUAAUUUAAUCUUAACCAUUAUAUAGGCAGCAUUCCAGUAUAUAGGCGGCCAGAAUUUACUGAAGGAAAAGCUCUAAAGAAGAACAACUAACUAAAUACAACUCAAAUAUCUUUAGAAGCUUGAAGUUCUCUUUGUGACAUACAAAUUGCCCACAUAAUUCAAGCCACGUGAUACAGAGGAAGGAGCAGCAGUCCUCUGAUACUUUAGUUGUCUUUUACACAACAAUUCAACUGUCUUGGUGACUUUGACAGCCUGAAGUUAUGUAGUUUCUUUUUACAACACAAAUUUAGCUCUUUUAGAAAGAAAUCUGCACAAACCAACAGAAAGAUCAUGGGCAGAAAGGCAGCCCAAAUGGAAGGAGUAUCUUUUCAGUCUCAUGGAAGGGCAUAUUUUCUGUUGCCUCAGUCUGGGUCUGAAUGGAUAUGUGUGUCACAAUUUCAGAUACUUCCAGAAGCUAUUCACUUGUCAAAAUCUUGUCUCAUAGAGCUCUCAAGAAAUCUAUCACCUACUUUCUGAUACUCCCAGUUUCUAACGUAGUAACAUAGGGAUUAAAAUAUCUGUGUCAGUGCCUGCUGGAAUUUGAAAGUUCAUCCACGUUCUAAGCAAAUAUCCACUAACUAGCACAAUAAGUGAGCAUUCUAGAAUAGGAACACUGCCCUGCUGUAUUUAGCAUUAAAAGGUAUUGUGUAAGGUGUUCAAUGGCACUAAUAUUCAGUUCUUAGUUCUCUCCCUAGUGGUUGCUUUACUUACUGUAUUUUUUUCUUUGACCCAGCAAGCAUUUAAUUAUACUGUGCAAAAGAGAGCAACUUCAAAAGAAAUUUAAAAUACCUUUCAUUAGUACUUUUUGCCAUCAUUUGAUAACUAACAAUCACUUUAAAAAAAUUUAAAAGCAGAGUAUGACACAAAACCUAGAUUUUUACAAAUUGGCUCAGUCCAUUAACUGUUGAGUUAAUUUAUAAAUAAAGAAUAAAUUUAAUCUCAUUUCCUGUUCUCUUUUUAGGCAGAAAUAGAUGUGUGUUCACAAUGCAAUUUUCAAAUGCGUUCCAUAUGUGAGAUAAUGGAAUAUGCAACUCAGAUCAUAGGGGUCACACAUCAGAGAGAAAGCAAGCUUCUGGGGUAUACAACCUAGCUGCAGAAAUAUGUGCACAUGAGACACUCUAGGCCAAAAUCUAGAUGUCUACAGAACCUAAAACUUAAAAUAAAAAGCCAUGCAUAUAUUCAGAAAUUGCCAGUAUUCUGGAUUCAGAGAGAAGUUAAUAAGCAUUUUCAGAAUUCAAACAGGUUCAGUGCUAAUUAUCUGUAAAGUGCUUUUUUGAGUGGUUAGAUAUUUGUGUGGGUUUGAGCCAACUACUGAAACACAAAGUACAUGUCAAGUAAUGUUUAAGAUGAAGACAUGAAAGACUCAAGUCCACAUGUAUUAGCAUUCACUUUUCUGUAAGUGCUAAUUCUGUUCCCCAGCAGUAUGAUUUAAUUUGCCACUUGGCUGUAAAACAGUACUCUACGCUGAGAUUAGGUGUCCUUUCUGAGCAGUGGUACAAAUGUAGGAAGACUGAGUUGCCACUGUAAAAAUUGUACAGGAUUGGUAGAUAGGAACCAUGUCUCAGUCAGGGUGUAUUGUGGGAGCAGAGUGAUUUAGGGCAGUACAAAAAGAGAAUUGUUAUGGUGAUGCAUUAUCUGUGGGCAGAAAAACUGUGACUACAGAGACAAUUUGAUCAGCAGGCACAUGAAGAGCUUAGGGAAGAACAGCAAAAUGAAAUCAACACGUUUUGAAAAAACUCUAAAACCUGUUGGGGGUGCUUUUGAUUUCAUAGCAUUGUUUGUUCCUGAGUGAACUAAUAAUUUCUUCAGACUUUUGCACUUUGUUUUAGAAAAAUACAGUUAUAUAAUUUUUUAGCUAAAACCACAGAAUGUGAGUUAUCCUUCUGUUCCAAGUCCUAGCUAAAAUAAUAAACUAAACAAGGAAAACAUUGAAAGGGUAAACUUAGAUAUAAUGAUUACUUACCAUUAUUAGUUGAACUUCAUUUUUUUUUCAAAUUUCCUCAAACCUGUGGUAUUCAAGUAUUAUAAAUCAAGCCUAAGCACAAUAAGAUGUGGUUUUAAAACCUAAUUUGUGGACUGGUUUUCUGGUUUUGAUUACUUUGAAAUACUCCUUCCCCACAAAUGAAACAACUAGAGAUGAAAGUUGAAUUAUUUGAUUCUGGAAAAUAUUUACUUCUGGGAGCAGACAAUAAAAUGGAGAUACAUUAAUAAAUUGAAUGAAUAAUUAGAUUAAGCAGAAAAGAUACUUUUGCAUGCAUUUUUUUGUGUUAGCACAUGAGACAGACCUUCAAAAACCACUGGAGUUAAAAUACUGGCUUUCUUGAAAGCUAAAAAUGUCUAAGGUCAAUCACACAAACCAGAGCUUCAAGACAACCAUCACUGUUUUAAAACAUGUCUUCAUACAUCAUAUGUAGCUGCUUCUUGUUUGGAGAGUAACAAGCUGGAAAGAAGUGUGGAUUGAGAGGAAUUGAUCUCCAGAAGGAAUGAAGAACCAGACAUUUUACCCAGAUUUAUGAAAGUAAAAGAAAGUGGUAAUUUUCAAAAUUUUAUCAUUAUUAUUUUAAAUUAAAAAAAAUAUCUGAGAUGAAGGAAAGAUUUUAACUGACAUUAAUACUUUUAUUCUUAUGGUUAUUUUUGGGGGAAUAAUAAGACUGAGUUUUCAAGGGUUUGUACUUUUCUUUCAUUUAGAAAUUAUGUUUUAGAAAGAUCUCAGAUAUGUUUUCAUAGUUUAGAGUGCAUCAGAUUAUGAAUCAGGGGUAUAUGUGCCAGUCCUGUCCUGUAAAAAACAUUUUAAAGAGGAACAAGUAUGUUUUAGUGCCACAGUAAAAAGGGAUACCAAUAAUCAUAUUCACAGAGAAGUUACUUUCUAAAUCACCACCACUCUUUAAAGCUUUUAAAACACAAUAAAACCAGAAUAUUUUUCUCAUAAUAAACUGGAAUUCAAAGCUGAGACCAACUACCAGUCCACUAAUGAUGCUUUUUUGAUAUUAUGGCUAUAGGCAGUGAACAUUAAAAUGUCCAGCAUCUCCAGGCUGACAUAUCAGAUGUCUCCUUGUUGUGUUGAAACAAUUUGUGUAAAAGUGUUUAUUUAAAAUAAGACAGAUGUACUGUGCAUAGUUUAGACUUAAUACUCUCUUAUUAUGUUGAGGAGAUUUUGCAUGUUGGCAUACAAUAUUUUUUUAAAUAUUUCUUUUGUCACAUAUACUCCUAUCAUAAGCAAAUGUCUGUUGUGCACAGUACAGUAUAAACAUCAAACUGAAAGCUGAUACAAAUAGUUACAACUAGCAAAUGUAAAGUCUCUCUAGGAAUAAAACUGUUAUGUUUAAUGCAAAAUAAUCUAAAUUGGAAAAGAAUAGAGAGUGAAGAGGAGAGUGGGAAGCUUAUAAGAAGUAGGCCCUCGGGAACAGAAUAUAAGGGAGAUGAUAUGGGCUUAUGAUUUUCAUUAAAAGAUAAAUCUGAUGCAGGUCUAGGAACAAAAAGGCGUCAUCAGAACUGCAAAGGAGACAGAUAAAUCCUUGCCCUAAUCUGUUUCCUAAAAAUAUGCAAGAAAUGAAUGACUAUAGGAAUGGAGUAAUGGAAAUAGGAUUAAAAGUAACAGCACAGUAUCCUCAAUGGUGCACAUUUAAGAGUUAAACCAAGAAUUUUUCAUUAACUGGAAGAUCAUCAGCCAGAAGUAAAUGAUAAAGUGGAUCAGAAGAUGUCACAAAGAGAAACCAACUAAGAGAAAGGUAAGUGUCACUCUAGAAUAUGCAGGGAGAUAUGCUUCCAGUGCAAAACCUGAAAUAUUAGUAUCACUGCACAUCACUUCUCUGAAGUAGGGUAAACAACUGUGAUCACUCCUAUUAAGAGGAACAAAACUUCAAUCUGCAUGGGUAAAGGUGAGUGCUACUGGGAUAACCAAAGGGAUAGAAAAUCUUAAGAGAAGGAUGUUAUUUGUAAGUACAAAAGUGAGAUAAACAGAAAGGGGGAAGAGAUACAGAACAUUAAAAUAAAAAAUUAUUUCAAACUCCUGAUGAAUACACUGAGUUCGAUAACUAAAAUGCUUUCACCUGUCAGUGUGGUAUUUGAAUGAUAUUUCAUUGCAGCUAGCAGAGACCAACCCCAGCUAUAAGAUAGUUGGUAUUUCGGUCAUAUCCAGUAAAAGUGGUUGGGAAGACUCAAUCCUAUCCAAAGUUGUCCAUUUCUUCAGCCUUAAGACAAAAUAAGGCGCUAAUUCAGUUUUGAAUAGAUUUUUGUCUCAUAUCUCUUAGCAAAGAUCCUGAUCAGCACACAUCCUUCACUGCUUUGAACACCUCUUUUCAGAAAAUCCAUUAUUUUAGGCCAGAAUAGUUACACACUCCUUGCUAAACUUCUUUUGAAAUUACUCCCACCAUCUUCUUUCAUUUCACACCUUAAUGUGCUGAGAUAAUAAACUUGGGUCAGCAUGAUCUUCUGAAACAUCAAGUACAUUUAUGAUGCUGGGGAAAGUUAUUUAUCAAUGAGGCAAAUGAAAAAGUAUGAUGGAACAGUGGAAAUUUUGCAGGUCCCUAUGAAACUGACACCUCCAAGCAUUCAAAUACCAAAAUAAACAUCCAAAUUUAUACUAAUGCAAUUAUAACUGGCAAGCAGAAGUGCAGCAUUUGUAGCAAGCAUUCAGUUGUAGAAUUUCUACAGUAAGCAUCCAGUAGUAGAAAAAAUUUCUAAACCAAAAAUGUUGCAACAUUAAAAAGAGUCUACAAAUCCACAAAAUCAUCUCUUUUGUAAAAAUAGCACUUGACCAUGCAAGUACUAAAAAGCCAAACAAAGAGUAAUGUAUUUCUAUUAACUUCACUGUUGAAUUAUGCAUUUCUGAUUUUUUAGCAUCUCAUUUAAGAAGCACAUUUAUAAUUGAUAGGAAAAGUUUGAUUAUUUUCCUGUGCUAUCAUAUACUUAAAAAUAAUUGAGCCUAGAGGUGCAGAAGGCAGCUUCAUUCUUCCUAAUUGGGUUCAUCUGAACUUUUUACAAUCUACUCGGAGAAAAUUUAAUUGAUAAUUAACAGCACUUCAGUUCAUCUACUCAUGAGGCUUUAAAAAUACAUGAAAAGCUGACAACUCAUUGACUGAAUGAAAAAGUGUACACAAUUAAAUAUAAAGAAAAUCUUGAUUGCCUAAAUCAAAGCUCACUGUGUUAGGGAGAUGAAUGAAAUCUGUUACAUAAAGACUUCUUUUAAUGUCCAAAUUGGUUUUUAAAUAGUAAAUAUAUUAACUAUCAAAAUAUUCAGUAUCCCAUCACAUUUCCCUCCCAGAGACCAAAGGGGAGCCAGCCAUCCAUUACAGGAGGUCAGAGGCACUUUUUUUCUGUGAAUCGCAGCUUUCAACUGCUAGCUUCUGGCACUAGGACAUAAUAAAUGUUGUAACAUUUAACCACACAAAGUCCAGGCAGAUGUUAUUCAAGAAAUGUGCCUUUUUUUUACCAGAUUCACUGAAUUGGAGAUAGCCCAAUAUAUUUUGCAUCUAAGAAGUUAGUGGAUUUAUUUCUAUGUUGCUAGUAAUGCAUGCAUCUCUUGCCUAUCUCCUCAAGAUAGCAAGUGACUGUAUAGCCCCCAAGAGGCAAGUUCAAUAACAUUUUGUCUCUAUUUCCUAUCUAGAUAAUCUGAGGUACAAAAAACUGCAAGGCAUUUGCUGCAGUCAGUAUCCGAUCUGGAACUAGAAAUAAAAUUAUGUUUAUUUUUAGGUUAAAUUUUAGCAGCAAGACCAUGUGCAACUUCGUUAUGCACAAGAAGGAAAGAAGCACAUAAUAACAUUGAAUAUGUAAGGGAAAUGCUAUAUAUAUAUAUAUAUAUAUAUAUAUAUAUAUAUAUAUAUGUAUAGGUCUGUGUGCACAUAUAUAACAGUUUGAAAUUCAAAUAAACAUUUGUGCUCCCCAGGUACAUCUACAGGGAAGAAGAUGAUAAUUUUAUAUAAUCAUGCCCCACUCUUAUCAGACUUUUUCAAGACAUUUACUUUUCUGUCACCAUAGUAAAUAAACUCUAAAGUUGGAAGGAUAUUGGGAGGAGACCGUAGCUGAAUGAAAAAUCCCAGCCAACCAUGGAUGGGAUAAAAUAAUAGAAACAGGCGAAUGUUUGACAGAUGUUUAACAAUUUUUACUUCAGUAGGAAAAGGGUCAACACAAGAAUUCCCAAAACGUACCUCUGAAUAUCAUCAGACAAUCAUACAAGCAAGGAAGCCGUAAAUCCUGAUGGUGAAGAGACAGGGAAGUUCCCAUAUUUCUGGUAAAAAUGAGUAAAUAAUAAAUCCUGAACAAGAAAGUAAACUUGCUUCAUUCCAGUGGGCUUGCCAAUUCAUCUCCAAGUCUUAGUGCAACUCCAGAUUUUUGUAAAUUGAGAUGGAGCAUUUGGGAGAGCCACAAGUUUGGCAGGAUUAUCAGCCUCUCAAUAAAUAUACAUUUGUGUGGUUGACCCCUGUUGCAAAUUCUCCAGAACAAGUAAAAUUGCAUGAACAAGAAAUCUCACUGUCAUGAACGUCUUAGACAGGUCAUGAAGAGGCAAACAAACCAGAAAAUAUCUUCUCCUUCCUUUUUUGUUUUCCUAAAAGCCAGUUACAGAAAAAUGAAACAGUUGUUAAUGGAGAAAAAAAAAAUCAAUAAAACUUCACCUGAAUGACACAAGAACUUUUGGGCUACUCCUACACAUAAAUCUCACGAGCAGCAUAAUGUGACUUCUAAGGAUAUCUGGCAUAAAGAUUUAGUGUGGGCAACCCAUUUGGUGUGAGACCCUGCUCCCAAGUCAAUAUGGAAAUGUUUGGCCUGAAUAAUCAGGGCUUGUGACUGCAAAUGCCUCCUCAGUUUCAGAAGAAGAAAACAAUAUGCUGAGGAUGAUGAGAGGAUGCAAGAGGCUUUGAACAGAGAUUCUAAGAUUCUAGAUUCCUCCUGUAUUUUUGCCAGAGCUACUGAGCUGUGAGUCAGAUCUUUACCAUGUGAAGAAGUUGAAUAUAACUUUAAAUGGAAGCUCAGGAACACUGAUAGCCCUGGAAAAAACAGGGGACUGUUAGGGAAUGAUGACAGGAGAUAUAAGUAUUCUUGUGAACUGUUUGCAGAGCAAUUUUCAUGUCUGACUAUUGUUAGUAAUUAUUUUUACUGGGAUUGGCAAAAUAUUUUUAAAAAAUCUUAGAUUAAGUAUAUGAAGAUUUAUUCAGUAAUGCAUUUGGUUCUUAUUUUCAAGCUUCAUGCUUCUGUGGGACUGUGGAAACAAGGAAAAUAUACUUCUCCUAUUACUCAUUUAAACUCCCUUAAGAACAGGAACAGCUGCUUUUGUUUGCUGUGUUCUUUUCCCUUACUUCAAGGAGAGGGUUUGGGUGAGAAGAUUAAUUAAAUUUCUUUUGCUGUGUAUUUAACUUGUCGAUGUUCCCUGCCAGAGGAACCAAAGCUACUUCAGAUACUUAGAGGAAAAUCAGAGGUUUUUGGGACUCAAGUCAAAUUACUUUUCACAAAUUACAAAUUAUUAUAAUUACUUGUACACCACCAAAUUUUAAUGGUAUAUUUGUAGUGAAGAGAUUUUUUGUUUCAAAAUCUCUUAUGGAAGUAUGUGCAUAUGCAUGUGUCUCUCUGUUAUGGACAUAUACAAGAAUAAAAACUUAGAGCAAUUUAAAAUCAGGAUUAAGGACAAAAGCAUUCUCUGCAUCUCUCAACAAACCAAUUAGAUUGCAACUCUAUAGCAGAAUAACACAAUGUUUGAAAUCAACAGCUCUUUCUAAAGAAGUUCAAAUAUUAUUCUCUCUGAUUAUAGACACUGUAGUUGAGUAGGGAUAAGAGAUGUUGUAAAUCCAUUAGUGAAGCACUGCUUGCCUUCAUUUCAGUUUAAUAUUUCUUAAAGCUAUAAAAUUGUAUUAUGUUAAUGUAAUGUACAGUCCAAGUGAUAAAGGCAGCUAAUGUGAUUACUACUCACUGUGCUAUAAACCUUUCAGCAAAGCUGCAGAUAAAUUGGUAUUCAACUGUUUCUCAUGAUGACAGUGUUAUACAGAGCAGAUCACACGUUGAAAGCAUCAUCUGGUUGUUACAAGGUUUUUACACGCUAGAAUGCUUAUGCAGAUGCUAGAACCAACCUUCAAAGCAAGUGCCUCACUUACUGGUGGUAAACAAGGCCUAGUGGACCAGAGGUCCUUAUUUAAACUAUGCAUGCAAAGGACAAUUCUAGUGUGAUCCCAUUAUUGUGAUUAUUCACUUGCAGAAAAAUUAUCACACAUCAGAUCACAGAAAUUCAGUUUUGCUGGUAUUAGUGCUCUACUCUUCAUCUUGCUGUCAAAAUAAGCAGCAGUUUACUGAAAAUUAUGAAGACUCUUCCUCAAUUUUCUUAUGAUCAUGUAACAUUAUUUUCAGUUAUCCACCUUACACAUUUUGAAGAGAAAAAAUUACCUCACUGUGUAAGUUUACGUUAUAAUUCUAUUGGGCAAUUCACAAUAAAAUUCUGGUUGUCAAGCAGAACUAUUAAGUUGAGAAUAGUUAGAACAAAAGUCUGAAUGUGUGGUCAGGGCAUUAACUAUUUCACUGAAGUCUGGAAUUAAAAGACAGGUCUUUUCUGAGGACAGAUUUGUACAUUUCCUUCCAGGAAAUUUGAACUAGAUAAGAAGAGACAGAAAAAUUACAUUUAGAAGACAAAUAGCCAAACAGUCCUCUAUCUGACAUGGCCUUUCCCUGUCAUACAUCUGUUGCAAUAUUUAGUGCAGCGACUGACCACAUUUGUCUACCAAUAGCUAUUAUUUCUUCUUUCAAGCACUUCUGAAAGGAGAAACAAUCUUUUUGUAUUCAAAAAUAUGGUAGUGCACAAGCACUGACUUCUCUUUUGCUUACUUCUAAAUGUCUGUACUUUGAUGUUUGGAAGUAGCUCAGCAGAACAGGACUAGGAAAUUACUGCACAUGUUUAUACCCAGCCACACACUGGUUUUGUUCUCCAGGAUGGAAUCCAUGCUGGAGACAUUCAUCCAGUUUUCCUGAAGCCAGUAAAUUUAAUGGCCAAAAGCAGUAACUGAGGAAGAGUAAAGUGGCUAAAGCAUGAUGAUAAAGUAGAGGAAGAAUCAGGUUUGUUCAGCCCAGAGGAGGGAAGGUGCCAGGUGGCAAUAAUAAUAAAAUAACAGCCUGGCAAUACCUGUGAGGCAGUUAUCACAAAACCUGAGUCAGUCUCUUCACAUUGGCUUAUGGCAGGAAUAUGAGUGGAUUGAAGGGAAUUAUUUCUUCAUCAGGACUGUCAAGAAGUCUAGCAGAUUGCCCAUAACAGUUAAGUGUCUGGUCUUGAGGUUUUCAAGACAUGAUGCUAAAAAUGCUGAGAAACUUUGUCUGACCUUGUGACUUUUCUAACUUAGGCAGCACCUACUUAAGAUCCUUCCUAGGUUGUCUUAUUCUGUAUUAUUGUGAGUCUAGUUUUCAGUAGGUCACAAUAUUAUCCAGUACUGCAAUGUCAGAAAAUAACAAGGGGGAGGCAGUGAUAAAAAAUUAGAGGGAAAUAAAUAGAGAGCUAUAAGGAAUUUAUUAUGAAAACAAUUCCCCAGACAUUUAAAAUGGCUGGAAAUUUACAUUUUGUUAUCCUCUGAUAGGCAAAGGUACCUUGGCUGAUAGUUCAGGAAACGUCAUUAACUUGAAUUGAUAACUGGAAAGAAAACCUGUGGGGAUGCUUUAAGAAACAAUCCUGAAAAGUUUCUGUGUUUAACUUAUGGAAGAAGCACACCUUAUUCACAUCUGUCUCCAUCCUCAAGUCUUGUCCACCAUUCCUUAAUUUGCACCAGAGUGCAUGUGUCCGAACAAACUUAUGCAGACACAAUCCUUCCUGGCCUUUGACACAAGAGAAUGGCUAAAAGCUAAGAGGAAACAUACCAAUUAAAAACAUUAAAAACUCAAAAGAGCAUGCAUAAUAAGUAUCACUUUCAAAGAGAGAUGAGAGCAAAAUUCCCCAGUCUAGUUACAGAUGUAGACACCUCCCAAUACUUCCCAAAAUCUUGCAUCUAGAGGUUUAACUACGGAUUCAUAUCUAAUGUCAUACAACCAAGCAGUAUACUAAAGCUUAAAGGGUAAAGCAUUCCCAUAUCUUUCUAAUGAUGGUUAAUUCAUUUUGUAUUCAUUUCAGUAACAUUAAACAAAAUCAAUUCAUUUAGCAUGAAUGUGGAUCGAGAUUUAUUUUCUUCUGCAUUUUCAGUAGAAAUUCUUUAAAUGAACAAUUGUACAAGUGAAUAGCAGAGAGAAAGGAAGUGAAAGUUUCCAUGCCAGACAUAAAUUGUACAAUAAAUAACAUAUAUCCAUUAAUGUUUAUUUGUUUACCUUUGAUAAGUGUCAUAUUUACUUUAUGAACAUAUGGUACAGGAAAUGAAUAAUUCUGAAUGCAGAUGAAAAUGAAAAACAACACGAAGUUAUUUUAUAUUUUGACACUUGCUGUUAUAUUAUUUCAGCAGUGCCAAUCAAUAAGAACUUCAGAGAAAUAUCUUUAAUAAAACCUAUUGUAUCAGCUAUUUUUGCUUUAAAUAAGGAUUUGCCCUUUUUCCACAAUCAUGCUGCAACAUGUAAGUUAUGUAAGAAAAUCUCAGUAUUUUAUAGCCUUCCGUGACAGAGUUCUUCAAAGAAUAUUUUUCCAACUAUCCAAUUUUAUGGAAUUGCUGCCUUCUUUCCUUUGCCUGCAUUUUUUUCCCCACACAGACUUUGUGAGACCACCUAAGGCUGACCAACAUCUGAGAUUCUGUAGUCGUUUACUUUCAAGCAAAAACACCUUAUUUUUAUAGUAGCCCUCCCUGAGGUGACUAGCACUUCUUUUCAAACUGUUAGCUGGACCUGUAAAGUUAUGAGGCUCAAACAUUUUUAAAACACAUCCCCAUGUGGAUGUUUAGUAUUACCUGGGGGUCAAUGACAGCCACAGAUUAACAAGCUCCUUAAAGUUUCAAAUUACAGCUCCAGAAAGUUUAUGCCAAAAGCCAAGCAUCCAGUUUUUACCAAAUGCUGAGUUCUUCAUUUUGGAUUUAUCUAGGAGGUCAACUUGAUUGUGCAGAAGUAGACCCACAUCUGUAAUGUGAAUAAAUUAUUAGGGAAUCUGGUCCCUAAAACUAAUGAAAAAGAAUAAAAAUGGGGUUUGAUAUGGAAUUUCUUACAUUGGAAAAAAUAUAAAUUGGCUGGAUUUUCCUCACCUAGUUACAUGUGACUAACGACCAAAUUCCUAAUCUUGCCUGGAAAGGAUAAGAAACAGAUAUUACGUAGAAUAUUUUCUUCCCUCUAUUGACAAAAAGGUAGCUUUCAUGUGUGUUAGUUUUUUAACUUCACCUUGAAAUAUUAUUCAAUAACUGCAACCAUGUUAGGGAUUUCCAAAUUUUCAUCCUCAUCACAUUUUAAUAUUUAUUUUCUUAAUACUGAAACUGUAUCCAAUUUAUGUUUUUUACCUUCAGCUAUGGAGGACCAUCCAUACCAUCCAUAUUCUGGAUCCUGUACAUUCUUUCAAUAAAUUCAGGGCUAAGAAAACAGCUGUCAGAUUAAGACUUAUCUUGAGGCACAUAUUGCAUCUGUGUUUCUGUAGUUUUUAACAUAGGAAAGUUUAAAAAACUCAAAUAUUGUGACAACCUUCUGGAUUUAAAAAGUAGUUUUGUAAUUCAUGACAGCUUCUAACAAGUCACUCCAAAUCUCUGCAGAUUUGGAAGUGUAACAUUUACUUUGUUGAAACCUUCAGCAUAUUGCAUAUAUCAAUUUCUUGGUUUUCAGUGUGAUGGAUUUCAAACUUAAAGAUGUCAUUAGUUCAGUUUUACAUACAUUUAGGCAAAAAAAAAUCAUAUGGAUUUGUAAUAAAAUUAAAUAUCACUUCUAACUUAAGAGCUCAAAAUCUUACAUUUUAGAAAAAGAACAUGAACAAAAAUGGAGCAAAUGUUUUUAAUGAACUGUAAAGAGAAAGCUUGACCUUCUCUAUGAAACACAUAUCUUAGGAGAGACAAAAGAUAUUUAAUACAAUGCAUUUUAUUGCAUGUAUUUUGCAGUGCUGAUGACUUACUACAGAUUGACCUUUUUUUUUUUUAAUAUUCAGAAUUCUGGAUUGUAAAGAAAAAAUCCCAAUGUACUUUAUUUUCCUGUUCUUGCUGGUGAACGCAAGGAUGUGUUUAAUACACUGUGGAAAGAGAAUAGGAUCAGCAGCUGGUUUACCUGGGAAAAAAGCUUAGUGUGCAGGUAAAUCAUUGAGGCAUAUUCUACCCUCAAAUGAUAACAAGAAACUGGUAAUGUUCAUUACUGAUAUACCCAACUCCUUAUCAGCACAUCUUGUAGUUUACUCUCUCAUGCAGUUUACAAAUCUUUAAUGAUCUGACAAGGACUGAUUUCAGAUGCAUUUACCAGAGUCUUGUAAAUGCUCUUAGUCAGAUGUGAGGGGAAGGAAAGGGAAAUUAAGACUCUGAAGGGCAGCUUCUCAAGUGGCAGCUUGCAAAGACAGUUUGACAGACUUUCUGGUGUGGAAGAAUUAUAUGCAAUAACUACAUGAAUGGCUCGUUUUCCUCCAAGGAUUACAUAUUUUUUAAAGUGUCUUAAAUACAAAGAUGUGGGAAGCAUUUCUCGGCAGAACAAUAUAAAAUUCUAUUUUAUGUCCCUUGCAGCUCAUUUGCAUAAUUGGAGGGUUAUGUUUGUCAGAGGUGGGAAGACAGUUUAAACAAAUAUUCAAUGUAUGUAUACCAUCUGCAGCAAAAGGUCAUGGUCUUAGCAGGCAGCUAAAAAAGUAAACAAAGGCCAGCAUGUCUGCAUUCUCCCUGCAUCAUAUUGACAUCAAACAAUAGCUCCCUAACAGAAUAUCUGUCAAGCUGGAAACAUUAUACUGAGUAUUUUAUUCUGGCUGAUAUAGGCUGUUCAAGUAAGUCAUUAUACUGGGAGGCAGCUACUGCCAUUUCAAAAAGUAUCUUGAGACUACAGCAAUUUCAUAUCGCUGUAAUUCAACAGCAACUGACUACUAACUAGCUAAGUGCCACAGACUCCAUCCAGUAUGACUGUUUCCAUGGUAAUUGGAUACCUGGGCACUUUAUCCAAACCUGCUUGCCAGAUAUUGUUAAGGACUAUGAAGGAAAUCCUCAGGCUUUUCCUUUCUACAGACUGACUGGUAGGCACAUUGAAUAACUAAUUUUCACUAUUACCAGUUUUAUAUUAUAUAACUCUGAAUAUUCAUAUCUCAAAAGGGAUUCAGAAUAGCUUGUAUUCUGAAUCCCUUUGUUCCUUUCAUCCAGUGUCUACUGAAAGAUUCUAAGCUAAACCCCUCACCUCCCUGCACUGACCUACAUCAGUAAAAAAAUCUGUUUUAUACCAGUAAAAACACCUGUUUGAUUCAAAACAAGGAGGGUCUCAUACAGGGAGUUAUCCCACCUCUGACAGUGACCAAUGUCUCUAUUGAAUAAUUCAAUGAAGAAUUUUAAAUCCAGUAUAUUCCCACAAAAUGCUUAUUUAAAAUCUAUGUUAUGUUUUGUCAACUCACCCUGAUUUCUGGGUAUAAAACAACUUUCAUCUGUGAGAACAAAAUAAGCCACAGGCUUAUUGAGGAUGAAAGAGGGAAGAAGGGAAGGAAGAAAUGAACUGUCCACUGUCUUUGAUAAACUGAUAACAAGUGUUAGGGCAAUUAUUUUCUGUGCCUGUUCUUACCCAGUCUUUCUUCUAAAUAGUCUGUGUAUGUGCCAGUAAGCAAAAAUAAGCUCCUGUUUUUAAUCUCAUAUUCCAUCUGCUUUUGGAAUUACUGCUGAGGGCAGGUGGCAAAUGAGUUCUUUCUAAUUUUCCAAUCUUCUCCAUGGGAUGAAUUCUGCCUCCUUGUUUAGGCUGAGUAGUUCUUUGCCAGCCCUUGGGAUAGAGUAAGGAGCAGCUCAGGCUGGGUACGUGUGGCAGAACUUGCAUUCGUAUGGAAUGAGGGCACAUACAGUUUAAUGUAACGUGUGUGAUGUGCUCAGUACAUUAUGAGACAAUGAUCCCUGAGUUGGAAGGUUUCAGGACUACAGACCAGGGCAUGACAUAAAGGCAUUUGCUUUAUGGCUAGUUUUUCAGUGACAGGUUUGCAUACAGUUGUUUCUGCACCUGUUAAUACAAUUGUGUUUUGCUGAAUAUAAUUCUUCAAGAAAGAAUGAUUUCUUUUAUCACAGUGUCAGGUUCUAACCAAGGAAAGAAGUGAACAUUAGCCAUAUAAAAAAGUGACAAAUCAAGUCCUAUAUCCAUCAAUUUAAUUUGUGAAUGCCAAGAUUUUUACUGUCAUUUCAAAGAAAAUCAAAAUCAGGUGUAUAUCUGAUUAAUUCUUAUAUCUUCAGAUACACAUUAAUAUAUAUACAUUGUUAUAACAUUGGUCUGUACUUAUACAUAUAUAUUCAUGCAUAUAACCACGAUGUAAGAGCAUCUUCUCUGACAAAGAGGAGUCAAGGGAUUUUCUAGAGACUUAUUUGACAUAAUAAUAAUAAUUCAUUGAUCUCUCUGCUUUAUUGGGGGCUGAUAAUAGAAUACCUCAAGGGGAAGAAUCCAUGCCAGAAUCCUGGAUCAAAGGGUUUACCUCUUUGCUCACAUAGGUGCUGAAUCCAUGGCUUAUUUCCAAGUAAAAGUGCCUGCAGCAACAUUUGCUAAUUACAGGUUGUGUUCUACUGUUUCCAAACAGGGUGAAAGUGACAGAAGUUUAACUGUAAAUAAUUACACACUCGACCUUCAGGGAAUCUGCCUUGUUUCCAUUCAAGGCAGAGAGUAGAGAGAAGACAAAGGCCUUGGGAGUGCUGGAAAUUAAAAGAGGAAGAUACUGUGGGAAUGAUGGACUGAAAGACUGACAACAGUGGCUGAAUGACCUCUAAAGGUGCUGCAAGAGGACACAGGAUAGGGCCAACCUCUAAACCACAUGCUGGACACAGCUUCUAUCUUUGGGUGGAACAGUUGCCUGAAACUGACAAAAGAGAUAAGUGGUUGGUAUAUUUUUUGUUGAGGGAGAUAUUAAGCAUGCUCCUAUAUAUUGUAAUACAUAAAUAAUAUUACUUUAAAAAGACAUCUAGGUUCUGAAAAUGUUUAUAAUGUUUCUAAAAACAUGUAGUGAAGCAAAGCAGUUAAUAGCUGAGAAAAUGGCUCAUAUAUAAGAAUUCUUCAUUCAUUUCUUUUUAUAUUUUGAAAACAGAGUCAAUCACAGGAUGAAUCAGUUAAUAAUAUCAAAAUAAUUUAAAUCCUGUGGCAAAUCAAAACACAAAUUGUCAAAAUAUAUGUUGUGUGAAGGACUUUGGCCUCAAAUCAAAAUAAAUUCUUCAGUCUAAUAAGCAAAUUCUAUAAGAAAAUUAUGUCUGCCUCCUAAUUUCUUAAUUUGGCCUGCCUUUUUAUAAGUUACUAUUCCUUAAUUCAUAGCAUCAUAGAAUCACAGAAGAUCUCUUGUUGGAAGGGACCAUAUGACUAACAGCUUCCUCCAGAUGCUCCUUGGACUCUUACAGGAUUUGUGCCACGACCCCUUGCUUGGGGAGGGGAGCCAGUGACUAACCAUUCUCUCAGUGAGGAACGUUUUUCUAACAUUUAUUCUGAAUUUCUAUUGACACAAUUCUAUUUCCUUGUGUCCUACCAUUGGUCUCCAGAGAGAGGAGAUCAACACCAGCUCCACCUCUGUGCUGCCCACCUUGAGGACGUUGUAGACUCUGAUGAGGUCACCCCUCAGCCUUCCCUUCUCCAAGAUGAGCAAAGCCCCUUUCACCUCAGCCACCCCUUGAAAUUCUUGCCUUUGAGACCUUUCACCGUCUUGGUUGCCCUCUUCUGGACACACUCAAAUAAUUUGAUUUUCUUCUUAUAUUGAGAUACCCAAAACUGCACACAGUAAUUGAGGUGCUGCCACAUCAGUGCAGAGCAGAGGAGAGCAAUCUCCUCCUUUGCCUGGCUGGUGAUGCACCCCAGGACAUGGUUGUCUGUCCUGGCUGCCAGGGCACUGCUGACUGAUAUUAAAUUUACCACCAACCCAGACCCAUUGAUCAGUUUCUGCAGGACUGCUCUCCAGCCUUUUAUUCCCCAUAUCUAUAAUCUGGAUUAUCCUGUCCCAUGGUGCCUGUUCGUGCUAAAUUUCAUACUGUUGAUGAUAUCCAGAUCUCUCUUUAAGGCGCCUCUGCUCUCAAGGGUGUUCACAGCUUCUCCUAAUUAGUAUCAAUGGCAAACUCAUUCAAGUUAAUUCUACCAGAAAAAAAAAAAGUUUUCAUAUAUGAGUAACAAAAGUUUAGUGAGAAGUGAAGAAAUAGUAAUCAAUUCUGCUUAAAUACAUAGAAUACCUGUUAUUAUUAAUAAUGUUGAUUAUUGCUAUGACUAGGAAAUAAGAAGAAACUCCAGGUUUGCCUGGCCAGACAUGGAGUACUGGUACCUUGAAGAACAAGCAGCAUAAACAUGCAGAUGAGGUGUACACUAGAAUACAGACAAUCAAGUCAACUGAACUGUGCUAUCAAAAAUGUCUUCCCAAGUCUUUAGCGAGGUAGGAGCCCAGGCAGGGGGCAAAUAGGUUAAUUUACUAGCAAGGAAUGAAAGUUCUGUGUCAGCAGAAGAGAGAGAAAGGGAAGUAAACAGAUAAAGUGAGAAAGAGAGACUCAAAGUAUGCUCAAGGCUUUUCCUUCCAAUAGGUCAGACAUUUCUCUUUGAUGGAUAUUACGCAGUUCAUAAUUAAUUCAUUACACAAUUUAGGCUGUCUUGCUGACUUAAGUUUAGAAUUUAGAGCUAUUCAUCGCUUAAAAAAUAUGAAAAAUACUACUUAAUUGCUGCUGCAAUCACUUAGUCCACUUGUCAUUCAGCCAAUGAUGACAGUUUGCACUUCCUAUCAAAAGAGAAUAAAACACCCUCAAACAGUCAGAAAGUGAUUAGCCAUUACUUUUAGGUGGUAUCCCAUACCACCAAGUAUUUUGGUAUUCUUGUGAGAAAUGCACUUUAAACCUUCCACUCACAAGUACCUCUUUUACCACACAAGAAUAUGCAUAUUUUUACAUUGAAAACUUAUAUUUGCUUCUUCUAAAUUUGUGGCAAAAUCCAUUACUUUUGCAAUAAUGUGUCCUCUAUAUUCUGUGGAUCUAUUUGAACUGAAGUCUUGGUAUAAUUUCUUUCUCUCUGUUUUUUUUUUUUUUCUGCUGACACAAAUAUAUAUAUAAUUCGCUUUAAUAUUCAACUAUGUACUAUGGUACUAUAUAGUUUCAAUUCAAAUAAGAAAUUCAAAGCUUUUUCUACCAGUCUAAAGUCAUGGUACCUCUCCACAAGUGGAAUUGUGAGAGAAUAAUACAUAUAGGCCAGGCACAGACUGAAAUAAGUUGGAAGAGAAGCGACAGUUGUCAAUAUACUCACCAAUACUAUCAGAUGAGAAGGAAUCAAAAUGCAGUUACAGAGAAGGAUUCACUGUAAGGUAGACAAAUUCUUAUUUCUUUUGCAUGCCAUAAUGAAAACAGAACUGUAGGGGUCAUAUCAGGGACUUCAUUCUAAAAAUAAGCCACUUUAAUUAUGGAAUAUUCACAAUUAUCUUAACAUUAGCUUCACCCAUCUGCAAUUAGAUUUAACCUCUUCUAAAAGGAGUUGUCAAAGCAUAUAGCUAACAUAUAUUUUAUAUAUAUUAUAAUCUAUUUUAUGUAUUAUUUUUUAGUAUGUCCAUUAAUUGGAUAGAAGGAGAAAUAUUUCUCUUAAGAGCUAAUUACAGAUACCAAAGAAAGACGUCUAAUUUUUUUGGUGGGUUUUCUCAGAAAAGUAUCUUAUAAUGUAAGAGGCAUCAGACUGGAAAUGAGUUUUUUGCUGGUUGCCUAAUGCCUUUCCCAGGGUGCCAUCCUUCUCAUGCUUGUGACAGUGGUUAUAUUUCACUCCUUGUUGCUUUUCAGUGCUAACAGUGAAUAAAUGAAAAUGCUUUUUCCCUGGUCAUUCCUCUAAAUGUGCUCACAGCCUUUGCUUAUCUAGCAUUUAUAGGCAAGCUGACACUUUUCCCAGCAUAAAGAGCAUAGAAAUGCUGGCAGCUACAAAGCUCUGGCGCAAACAUCCAAGCUGAUUCUCACAAAUGGACACACAAGCGCUUAGGUUUCUGUUAGGGAUUUUAAAUCCCAGAAAGUAUGCCAAACAGCUGCUCUGCUAUUGUCCCAACUUUGCCUUCACUGGGCAAUAAAAUGAGUAUUAUUUGUCUUUUGUAAUCACUAUUUAUUUCUGGUUUUCAGUUGAUACAAACAUUGAACAUAGCUGGUCAGAAAAGACUUCAUGAUGCAGCUGCCAAAUGAGCACAUGAGUGCAUCUGUGGCACCUUGCAGAUUAAGGCACCAGGCAAAAUAAAGACACAUAUUGUGCACAGGAACAGGACCUGGACUGAACGUGACAGUUAAUUGAAUGAAGAUUGCAAAUCUGGCCUUGGGAUGGCAUUCAAAAUGUAUAAAAAUAUCCAAUCAAAUUCAGUGAAAUCUCCACAGAUGAUGAUGACUCAACAUGUUCUAAGCACUGACAUUGGAAAAAAAACAAAACAGACUAGCAAAACUUGUAGAAGUUAUUAUCCUUUCUGCCUCUUCCUGCUGGCUCUGGGAAGCAGAUUGCAAGUUAUGUUUACUUCACAUGUUUACCAUUUUCAGAUUUCUCUCCCCUAUGUCAGGAAAGGUACUUGCUGAGCCUGAGUGAAGAGUAAGAAAGUUCUAACUAGGUUAUUUACUGGACUGUUAUGAUAGGUACUUUUAUUUUUGUCAGCAUAAACUUGCACAAAUAUACUCUGGGCCUCAUAACUAUAUUUUCUCUACUAAACUUUUCUCCAUCUAACUCUUAAAUACUCUUCUGGCAAUUUUUCAGAUUUUGCCAUUUAGACAUAAUUAAAUUAAUCUCCUUUUUCAGAGAUGUUUCUUGACAUGAUUUUACACAAUAUAAUAAUGUUUUUUAUUUUAAUAGUCCUUCUUUUACUCUAGCUAUUGUUUUCUAUAUUUGUGUGAUUUGUGGUGCUUUGCUUCCUUUUUGAUUGAACACAUAUUUCAGAUCGUUCUGUUUAUUGUUUUCUCAAGAUGUUGCCAAAAUAUUUUUAUACAAGAGUUAGAAAAUUCUGUACAAUACAGAACAAGUAAAGAACCACAUGGUAAAAUGUUAAUCCAAGAUUUUUAAAAGCCAGAUGCCAUUAAAUCUUAGUUAUAAAUAUUUCAUAUGACCUUAUCUUACCCUGAGGUUAGCUCAGUUGGUUAGAGUGUAGUGGUAAUAACACCAAAGUUCUGAGUUAGAUACCUUUAAGAGUUGGACUUGAUGAUCCUUGGGGGUCACUUCCAACCCAGAAUAUUCUGUGAUUCUGUAAUCUGCAGAAAUAAAAAGGGGGGAAAAAAAAAAGCAAACACAGAAAGUUUUCUGUAUUAUGUGGGUCCCCCCAUUACUAAACUAAGGUGAUCCUGACAUCUUCGUGGUGGUAUCUGAGUCUGCUGGUGGUGAAGCUUACCUGGGUAAGCCAGCUUACCCCAGGGUUCAUUCACACCUUUAGACUGCAUGUGAGGCUUGCCAGGUGCCCAAGGAGGAUCAUCAGAAGUGAUGUUCUUGGAGCUGCUUCACCAGGAUAACCCGAUCCUGGCUCUAAAAGAGCUCUCACAGAUAGGGGAAAAAUAUGUGGCAGAGGGGAAGCCAAUGUGUAAUACUCACUGCAGCCUGUCAAUUUUACUUUUAAUGAUGUUAUAAAUCUGCUUUAAAUUCCUGGUCAGUUUUAAAUAGAUCAGCUGGACAAUUUUCCUUCAUCUCUCCUUUCUAUCUUAUUUUCACUGUAUCCAAAUGUCAUCCCUUUCUGUCCUACUGCAUAACUGCUUACUCAGUUCUGCAAGAAAUACAAAAAUUCUACUUUCCUAGAAACAGAAGCUUUGGGGGAUUUUUCAUAAUUAAGGACAUUUGAUCUAUGAUUUUUUUUUCAUGACCCUUAAAUAAAGUAAGUAUAAUACAGGUAAUAGGGGGCAGAGGUGUUUUUGUUUUUUUUUUUUUUUCCCAAAGGAAAUUAAUUAUUCCAACUCUUAUUUUCAUCCUGAAUUAGAAUGAGGUGGCAAAGCACCAAAUUAUCCCUGCACUGGAAGCUUAAAAAGCUUGUCUUUAAGCAACAUCCUAAUUUUAGUUUUUGCAAUCAUUCCUGCUAACAUACUGCAAUUAAAUAACUGUGGGACAACUCUCUGGGCUACCUGGGCAGAAGGAUGCUGUGUGCACACACUCUGGGGUGCACAGGGCAGAUCACUGUUUGUCUGGGAUAUCCAGCUCUCCAGCAGCUCAGUCUUAGUUACAGUCACCAUUCCAUCACAGAUCUGCUUGGGGAUGGUGGGCUAGGAGGGAGGAUUUAUGGAUGUGACUAUUGCUGUUACAGUGUUUUCUUUUAAUUCAUCGAGCUACUGUUGGAUGCUUGCUUUUUUUCUCAGUUUGAUACAAACCUGAAUACCACAGGGAUUUAUUAUAAUUCCAUAUGCACUGUGAAGUCCAAAUGUAGGGUAAGCUAAAUCAUAGUAUAAUCUGCCCUAGGAGCUUUAGUCAUGCAUUCAGAUGGGAAACUGAAUUAUUUUACAGGAGAUAUAAUUAAAUCAGUGAUUCCUCUCUGUAGAAAAGCUCUAUGAGCCAUCUUAACAAAUGCUGUUACAUGCUUCCUUAGGGACUAACACAGGGGCAAACAAAUAUUGAAACAGUUUUUGAUUUUAUUUUGCAAAUGAAAAUGUCAAGAAUCAGAUCUACUUGCCCCAAGAAGAAAUAUUAUAUUUAAAAUUACCUAAAACAAAUUUGAAUGUCAUGGUAAAAUUGAAAUUUUAACAGAUACAUUUUUUCAUUAAAAAUUUUUGAGCAGAAAUUGUCCAAAAGUUCCACAGGCUUGUUCUGGCAUUUCAAAUCCCUGUAAUGCUUUUAGUGAACUGCUCUGGUAGUAACAAGUCAAAAGGAGUAUAUUAACAGAUAAACUAUUCCUAGGUUACAUUCUGUUCUUCAUUAAAUUAAUGAAGUGUUACUGAAGUUCUUCUCCAGUUUUUACAAUUAACACUGUUCCUCAAAUUUGCUCAGCUUAGAGAAAGUAAAGGCAUUUUUCAUAUUGCAUCUCCUUGGUGAUAUAAACUGGCAGAAGAGAUAACAGCAUGACUUUAACAUGUUGCUGUUAAAUGCCCAAAUCUUUGGCUACAAAUUAGUCAUAGUUGAUACAAAAACCAUGAAAUCACCUGUCUUUAGAAUUCCAUUAUAUUAUCUGGUGGUAAGAUAUUUGAAUGUGGAUACUGCGAGCAAGGAAUUGUUCCUUACACUAUGUCAUGAUAUUCCUAUUAUUUCUCUGAAAUUAUACCCAUACUGUCUCCAUUGCCAUUGCCAUUCUGCAACAUACUUUCACAAUGCAAAAGUAGCAAUUGCUGAAAAGUAAGGUAAUUGUGCCUUAAAUUCAAGAGGGAUUGCAUUAUGAGAAUUGAUGGAAAAGGACUACAAAUGAGAAUUAUGGUAAAGUGCAGUAACAAUUAAUGGACACAGUAAAAGUGGAAUCUAUUCAUACACAACAAUGUACAAAUCUGUCCCAGCAGUGUCUCCAAGCAUUCAGAGUCAGGCAGCACAAGUUGAAAGAGGGGAAUUGAAUUAGAAAGCAAAGGGGCAAAGAAGAGGGAGAUAUCACUGUUGAAGUAGGUGAAACCUGUGUUAGAAGAAAGUUAGCAGUAGGUUUUGAAGUAAGAAGCAGGUUUUGAGUUGAGGAAAAAUUAGUUAAUGAAAAGGAGAGGGCAGCAAAGGACAGAAUAAUUUAAUUUCUUACAGUUCAAAAACAUUUAAUGUUCCAAACUUUAUUGCUUUACUCAUCUUUUAAAUCCUUUACCUACUUUCAAUUCCUUUCACAUUGCUGCUCAUAUUCUGAAUAACAAGGCAUUUUUAUUCUUUAAAAAAGUAGCAGACUCUGCUGUUUGUUGCACAAUACAUAAGAUGUAAUUGUGUCAGGAUUAUGAUAAGGGGAUGACUUGAUUUAUGUAAAAAUAUUGUGGGGGUUUUUUACCCCAAGAAAGCACUUGAGAGAAACAUAUAGAUGAGGAUCCAGAGCCAGUUAGAUAAUGAACUAAUUUCUAUGAGUCUUUGGCAGUUUGAGGUACACACUACAGAAAUUAUUUUUCACACAGAAUUCUUUAAAACUCCUGUACAUUUUACCAUCUGCCCUAGAGUUCUAUUUCUAGAUAAUUUUUGAUCUUUACAAAACAUCUGGUAGUAUCACUGUCUUUCUGCAAAUAUUUUAUUUUAACUCAUUCUUUUUCAACAGAGAGAGCUGGUCACAAGCAUAUGUACACCCACAAAUAGCUGUUGCCUUUUAGUAGUCUCCACACCAUAUGUUAAUUGAUGCUGUAAAGAAAUGGCACUUAAAACAAAUGCACAGAGAUAAGCAUAGAUAUCUCUGCCCUUAGCUUUCCUUCACAAGCAAUUAAUACCAAGGUCAAUCAAGUUAAUCUGCAGGACAUGAUGGUUGUUUGUUUUCUAACUUAUAAGCUGAUGGCCUUCAAGAUUUUUGUAAGUUUCUCAGCAAAAUAAGUAAGGGACAGGCAUUUCAUUUGUCCCCGCAUUGCUCGGUGAUUACUCUGGGAUGGAAUGUCUCUGAUCUUUAGCCAGGUGGGAGCUGAACAUGAUUACUCAGUGCUUCUUGCUGAGCACACUAAGGGCAUUGGACAAAAUCAUCCAUCAGGCACCAGCCCAGGACAAAUGAAAGGUACAUUUCUUAUAAUUCUUAAAUGAACUGUAGAAAUCAGAAGUACAGACUGUUGUAGAUAAUGUAUCAUAAGGAUUCAAAAACCAUGAGAUGUUCCAGUAGAAGCUGGCUUACAUAAAUCCUGAGUAUUUUACAGAAACAAACUUAUCCUUGAUAAAUCUCCUCCACCAAAUGUCUGCUAUUAGCCAUUUCAGAGUCAGGAGAGAGGGCUACCAGCAUUUUUUAUAUCAUCAUGAUCAUUCCUAUGAUAUGUUCCAUGCUCACAAACUGGUGUGCAGAAUAAUGUCUUUCACUUUCCAAGAUGUGUGAUUUCUUAAUGACCAUGCCAAACAGAAUGGAUUUUGGUGCAGCUUAUAAAUAAUUUCAGUAAUCCUAGCAUUCUCAGCUUGCAUUAUCACUUCAUUUACUCCUAAUAUUAAAACCUGCAUUCUACUAAAGUUUCAGGCACAGUUGUUUUUCAUAUGGAGUAUUUUGCCUUUUGUUAUUUUAAAAAGCCAUCUCUCUGUCAGUAUCAUAUAACCCUUUUAAGUAGAAGAAAAUUUUAAGACUUUGAAGACUUGAAAGAACUGCUUAUUACUGUCCUAUAAAACCUGAUCAUGUCAGCAUACUGACAUAGCACUUUUUUACCACACAUAAUUUUGCACUUUGUAUUUGUAUCAUUAAAACUUAACAUUCGUUCAAAUACAUAAUUUAAUACAAGUUUUUUCACAUGUAUAAUAUUUGUAUUUGACUCAAAGAAAUUUUAGACUUCAGAAGCAGAGUGAACAGAACUCUUUGAUGGUUCAGAUCCAGGGAAACUUGAUGAAAUUGUUUGUGCAGGACUUUACAUUUUCCCCUUGUUGAAGUCCAAAGGCUCCUCUCAGCCCAUUUUUCCAGCCUGGAAAGUCCUACUGGAUGGCAGAAUGACCCUCUAAGGUCUCAACCAAUCCUCCCAGUUUUGCGUCAUUGGCAAACUUGCUGAGGGUACAAUGCUCCCCAUUGUUCAGACUGUUAAUGAAAAUACGAACUAGAAUUUGACUCAGAAUUGACCUCUGAGGUAAACUCCAAGUUAUUGGCCUCCAGUAAGACUUCAGGACACUUAGCACUACCCUCUGAGCCUGGCCAUUCAGCCAGUUUUCAAUCGAGCUCACUGUCUGGCAUUCAGACUAGACUUCGUUAGCUUCUUCAUGAGCAUCUUAGAAGAAAUGGGUUUGGACGUGAACCCAGUUUAUGAUACACCCGGAUCAGGUGGGAGUGCCUGAGUACCUCCACUGUGGGGGACCUUUCAUUUCUCUGGUGAAAGCACUCAUAUCUGAGUCUGGAGGCACUUCAGGGGUCUUUGAUAGUUUAUGACACCAUCUGAGACAUGACAGUUUUCUCUUCCUGUGUCAGCACAGCAGGGCCAGGAAUGCCCCAUCAGACCCUCCCUGGAGGAUGGGAGUUUUACAACCCCGAGGUUUAUGAAAGGAGGAGAGUUUAGCCUCACAAGAGGCACCACCCUAUCCCCAUAGGAUUUGUCUCUUAAGUCACUCAUAGCACAUCAUUCACCCUGUGUUUUACCAGAUCAUUACACACCCAAAAGCUCCCCUCCCCCAUCUCCAACCCUAUCUUCCACAAAGCAUCCUGGGACCUCCACAAGUGGGGAGUGUUUUGAGUCAUUAACCCAUAACAGUCCAUAACCCAAAACACCCUGUGUCUUCCCUUUGGCAAAUAACAGGUUGGUUAAAGAUCCCUAUGAGGACAAGGGCCUGCAAAUGUGAGAAUGCUCCUAUCUCCUUUAUGUAGGGUGUAUAUGACUAUUUCACCCUUCUGGUCAGGCAGCCUGUAUCAGACAGCCACUACUCUGAUGUUUAUCCAUCAGUUUUUAGGUGGCUCAUCACCAUCCCCAAGCAGAGCUGCAAAUAUUCUGUCUCAUAUAAAGAGCUACUCCACCUUGUCUUUCCAGCCUGUUCUUCCUAAGGAGCUUUUGUCUCUCUAUUGCAACCAGUCAAGGGAUCCAUGGCACCAUGUCUUUGUGAUCUCAGGAUCCUAGCCCUGGAGCAGUACGCAGAUUUUUGAUUUAUGCUCACACCUCAUGUUGUGAACCUAAGUGUAUGUGCCCAUCUGGAUGUUACAAGGCAACACCCAUCGUACCAAGUGUCCCUACUUAUAAAGGUGCAGCUUCACAGUAAACAGGUAAAACUAAUGCUUGCUUUUAACUGCUGUUGCUGAGACACCAUUUUUUAGACCUAAUAGGGGUUUGUCUUUUUAUUUAGUUUCAUUGAUGAUCCAGUGCAGGUAGCUCAGUUUGAAAGCUGCAAUGUAAGUUGCAGGUUGAGCUCUGGAUGAUGAGAGCCUGAGGCAAGAAGCCAUGACUUGCCAACCCUUUGCACAACUAAGAGCACGGGCACUUAGGUCCCCUGCCAGGGGACAGACAUGGCAGGACCCUUUGCCCCCCAGACUGUCACUCAGACUGUGAUGGUAUAAAAGGCCAAGAGUUCCUUUGUUCUCGGUCCCUCCUUGGAAGUAGCAGCUCAAGCUUAGUUUUGUUUCUGGUUAUUGCACCAUGAUUAAGUUAUUUGAAGGAUCUGGAUGUCCAAGACUGCAGUCUUGGAAACUGGGAAACCUGAGGUCGAGCAGGUGAGGAAACCUGGUGUGAGAGCAGGAGGUGCAGCUGUGAAAGAGCCUUGGUCCCACUCAGGUCGUGCAAGAGUGACUGUGCCAGAGGGCUCCUGGAUGAUGAGACAGGAGUUUAUUUAAAAGUUUUAUCUUCACCCAUAAAUCAUUUCUGUUCUAAGCUGUUGUUAACCUGUUUUUGCAUUCCUUUCCCAUGAAAAGGUGCUAAAGUUUUAAGUAGAGUGUAACAAAGAAGAACCCCUUCUAGUGACAAGACAACUUAAAAAGGUAAGAUAUGACCAAGGACUUUGAGGUUUUAAAACUGUUUGCUAACAUCUUAAAAAUAUUCUCCAAUUUUGCCUGGAAAAAGAAAAGUAAAGGGAUUGUCUCUAUCAUUUAUCGCUGAAAACUGUCAGAUAUACAUAAAUAGAAAAAAGCAGAAUUUUCUCAGGUCUCUAAUAUUUUAAUAGGAUAAAGCAGAGGAUGAUAUUUACACCAAAUGUGUUUUUAAAUAAUUUUUCUCCUUAAUAAUUUUCAGUUGAAAGCAUCUAUUCUGCUCAUAGACUAAUCUGAAUGUUCAGGUAUGAAGUGAUACAAAUAAGAACAAAGUUAUAUUUACUGUUAUUCUCAUUCCUGUGAGGUCCUUUUAAAAGACUGACCCCUCUGGGAAGGAUGUUGAGACAUUUCCUUUUUUUCACGACUGAACAAUUUCCUUGAGAAUUUUCUCCCCAAAAAUCUCUGCAUCAGCUUGCCUCGCAGCCCUUGUUGCUCUGAAUAUCAUGAGGUAUGGCAUGGAAAUCUCCACUAUUAUUAGGUGAGAAGCCUGCACCCCUUUCCCUGACUUUAGGUGUUGUGGUAUUGUAUUGCUCAUUAAUCAAUAAUUAGGCAUAUUGUUAUAGAUGACUUUAUGAAGGCAUGAACUCAGUUUUGGCAAAGCAGUACAAUUUGUUCCAUGCAUGGCAGUCUGCCUUAGCAACAAAGUCUGGAAUCACAUUUCUUCUCAUUUUGAAGUCACAUUUGGAGAUUUUUCAGGUAUUAGAACUGCAUUUUCAAACCUCUCUGUGCUCUCAUUUAAGAUGUCUUUGGGAUUAUCUCUUCUUGUGAAAUUCUGACUGCUGACAUCAGGUACAUUCAAAUGGAAAAGAAAUUUCAUCUGUUUCAGGAAUAAAUCCCAUAUGCAUUCAAAAGAAAUCUUUCUUUGAAACUAUCAAUCAGCAAGUCAUGUUGGAAAGAAUUCAGACAUCACUAAAUAAACAUGAUGAUUUGCUCUGUGCUGAAAAUAUUGAUGUUGAAUAUUCAACAUGUAAUGACAGAAGAGAAAAAUAUUUGUUUGGUCUGAUUUAUACGCAUGUAGCCAGAAUCUCUUUCAGAAAGCAAAAUGAGCUACAUAUUGUUUUAUAAUGACACUUUGAUACAGCACAUGUAUAUGUCUUUUGGAAACAUCUUGAAAAACAAAGGAAUUGUGGGAAAGUGAGAAACAAGCCUUGUAUUUCUUCCUUCCAGUGCUAGGCUCAGAAGAUAUUGUAGCAAAGAGCUGUAGACAGCCAGUGCACCUUCAUUUAAAAGCAGUUAAUACAAUCUUUGCCCCCUGCCUCAGCUUUGUUAGGUUUCAUGGUGAAGGAGGGGGAGGUUCUUCAUCAAGUUGAAUGAAAGAAUAGGAUCCCCACGAGUUCAUAGAAACUUACAUUUCAGAAAUUCAUCUACAAAAACGUUUCUUGCAUAAUGUGGUUUUUACUGUUAUUUCUGUUUUCUUCAUAUUCUAGGAGAGUAUUUUGUUUCUCACUGGGUUGGACACUGUUCUGAAAAGAAGACAAAAGGCCAAAAGACCAUCAGGAUAUUUCUCCUUUUGAAGAAAACCAAUUGUUCUGGAGUAUCAAAAAUGUGCAUAAGACAAUGUGGAUCACCAGUUUCUAUCUCAGAAAAAAAAAAGUGCAUGUGUGCAUGAGUGCAGUGAUAUUACAUCUAAUAGAAACAUAGAGAAAGAAACUGAUUAAUUUGUUGUUUAAACACAAUAAUUUCAUUUUCCUUAGGUUUAUGUCUUAGAGAGAAUCAAAAAUUGAAAGAUAAAAAAUAUCCUAAAUAGUAAGUAACUUAAAACUUUUUGUUUAUAUCAAUAUUUUGCCACUAAAAUAUGUAGAUUGCGGUCAUUUGACAGCUCUAAUGACUCAUGACCAUGUCCAGGGGACUACAGCCAUGCUAACCCAGUGUACCAGGAAGAACAAGAUACCUGAAAAAAACACAUUCUUGAAUUUGACGGGAGGCAUCUAAGUUCCAGUGGCAGAGAACUAGAUUGACUAUGACUCUAUGGUAUUGUCAAAGCAUAAUUUUAAGCCAUAGUGGCCCACAUCUAACGCCAAAAAGUGGUUCUGUACAGAACUUUAUAUGUUAUAGAUGAAAUCAACUCUUUCUUUGACUUUGCUUGACUUUGUUUCCUUUAACCAUUGUGUGAAAUGGAGUCAUACUUACAAACAAAUUAGCUCAUGUGGGAGAGGUAUGGGAAACACAAAGAAAAGCUCUCUGAAUUAAAUUGCUUAGAAAAAAAUUGAGCAUUUCCAUCAUUGGGGUUUUUAUUUUUUUGGGUUUCUUUAGGAAAGAGUUUAAUAAAGUUAUUCCCUUACAGGUUUUAAGCAGUAUUGAGUACCAUUCAAAUGAUACCUCACCUGUUUAGAGAGGAGUGAGGUAAAGGAAUCUCUUGUUUAUCCAUCCUGGAUGUGAAAUGUGAGCAUUUGGCUGAAACUCAGUGACACUAGAACCUGACUGAUUCCCAAGAUUCAGACCUUUGAGCAGUCCUCCCUUCUUUUGUCUGCAGAAGAAUAUUUUAUUUGUCUAUAUCAUGUGACAGACAUUGUAUACAACAGAGUGACUGAUGUAUGGAUGAUACUCCCAAUGUCCUACUAAAUGAUGAAACUAGACAUAAGAGAUCUGUAGACUUUGGCUACACAGCUGGCCAAGCAGUAGCAGAAAACUUCCAAUUGAGGAAGCAAGAGAAAUGACAGAACCAGAAAUAAGCCUGGUUUUUAAUCAGAGGUAAGCUGCAGAGCCUUGGGAUAUAGUAUCUUACAAGGUAACUAAGUUGUCAAAUUCACAACUGAAUCUUCUAUUAUCCUGACAUCAAGGGUGUCAGGAUAAUAGUUUUUUUAAUUUUUAAAUUUUUUUAAACUGAGGGAAUAAUUAUAAAGUCAUGUUAGAACACACAUCUGGUACAAGGACAUUCAGUUUCUUUGCUCCUUUUUCUUAUAUGUAGGGUUACAUGUGCUUACAAUUCUGGAUAGGUGCUAGCUGUUCCAAGCAUUCUUGGACAGAAUAUUAGUGAAAUAAGGAGAAUAAGUGCACAGAAAAGCCACUCACAAUUCAACUUUUACUGAAUGUUUUGAGGAAGUUUUUUUUUUUUUUUUUUUAAAUUUUGUUAUUGUAGUUGUUUGGUUCUUUUGAUGCUUUAUUUUUGUAUGUAAUACUACGAAAAUGGUGAGGGUCUUUGCUGUUGAAACUACCUUGGUUGUAUACAAAUACAACCUGGACCACUUAUCAAAUGUCUAUGUUUUCCAUACCAAAGCCUUAACUAAGUACAAAA